UACGAAGGGGGGCUAGCGUUGCUCGGAAUCACUGGGCGUAAAGGGUGCGUAGGCGGGUCUUUAAGUCAGGGGUGAAAUCCUGGAGCUCAACUCCAGAACUGCCUUCGAUACUGGCGAUCUCGAGUCCGGAAGAGGUGAGUGGAACUCCUAGUGUAGAGGUGGAAUUCGUAGAUAUUAGGAAGAACACCAGUGGCGAAGGCGGCUCACUGGUCCGGUACUGACGCUGAUGUGCGAAAGCGUGGGGAGCAAACAGG
rnacentral:rRNA from 1 species